AACGCACGAGACCUGCGGACCUGCGGAGGGAUCAUUAAUGAGAAGCUGCCCCUCGUGGGUAGACCUCCCACCCUCUGUGAACUUACCUUUGUUGCUUUGGCAGGCCCGUCCUCUGGACCGCCGGCUUCGGCUGGCCCGUGCCUGCCAGAGGAUUCCAAACCCUGUCUGUCAGUGUUGUCUGAGUCUAUAUGAGAUCGUUAAAACUUUUAGCAACGGAUCUCUAGAUCGGAAGAGCACACG
rnacentral:misc_RNA from 1 species